rnacentral:rRNA from 1 species
GACGGGGGAUGCAAGCGUUAUCCGGAAUCACUGGGCGUAAAGCGUCUGUAGGUGGUGAUGCAAGUCACUGGUGCAAAACUCUGGCUCAACCGGAGGAAAGCCAGUGAAACUGCAUGACUAGAGUGUGGGAGAGGUAGAAGGAAUUCCCUGAGUAGCGGUGAAAUGCGUAGAUACAGGGAAGAACACCGGAGGCGAAAGCGUUCUACUGGAACACAACUGACACUGAGAGACGAAAGCGUGGGGAGCAAAAGGG